rnacentral:tRNA from 1 species
GGGCGAUUAGCUCAGCUGGUAGAGCGCCUCGUUGACAUCGAGGAGGUCGUUGGUUCAAGUCCAAUAUCGCCCACCA